GAUGAACGCUGGCGGCGUGCCUAAUACAUGCAAGUCGAGCGAACAGAUGAGGAGCUUGCUCCUCUGACGUUAGCGGCGGACGGGUGAGUAACACGUGGAUAACCUACCUAUAAGACUGGGAUAACUUCGGGAAACCGGAGCUAAUACCGGAUAAUAUAUUGAACCGCAUGGUUCAAUAGUGAAAGACGGUUUUGCUGUCACUUAUAGAUGGAUCCGCGCCGCAUUAGCUAGUUGGUAAGGUAACGGCUUACCAAGGCAACGAUGCGUAGCCGACCUGAGAGGGUGAUCGGCCACACUGGAACUGAGACACGGUCCAGACUCCUACGGGAGGCAGUAGUAGGGAAUCUUCCGCAAUGGGCGAAAGCCUGACGGAGCAACGCCGCGUGAGUGAUGAAGGUCUUCGGAUCGUAAAACUCUGUUAUUAGGGAAGAACAAAUGUGUAAGUAACUAUGCACGUCUUGACGGUACCUAAUCAGAAAGCCACGGCUAACUACGUG
rnacentral:rRNA from 1 species